rnacentral:lncRNA from 1 species
GGCUAUUAACGAACCACGCCGCUUACAUCUGAGCAAACAUAAGGCACUUCUGAGUUCGAUCGCCGAUUUGCUCCAUGCACGAGCGAAGAGGGACGCACACACCGUUUUCCUUAAAGUCGUUUCUCACACGGGUCUACACGGUAAUGAAGAAGCCGAUAAAGGUGCAGCAGACGUAGCUACAAGCACUAAACCGGCUGACGUCUCGGAGCUCGCUGACAAUAACCCCCACGCCACACACUGGUGGCCAGCAACGACCCGGACGCGGGAAGACGGCUCUACCACCGUGCACUACAUCUCGGACCACAAUCGGGGCCUCCUGAAAACACUAGACCCUUCCUCCCAUGGCGGUCAUUCCAAACACACACUCUACACGACCAAGUGGGCGGAGUCCGCCCCACACCUGGACACUAGGGCCAGCACCGCCUACAUGACGCACCCCGGCGCUGGGCACAGCCUCCGACGCUUCAUCCAGAACGCCAGACAGGGAGGCCUCAUCUGCCCCGCCCGGCUUGCGCUGUUCAAACUACGUGCAAGUGACACAUGUGCACUCUGCGCCCUGAUUCACCAGCGCGCUGGAUCCCCCCCCGAACGGGGCAACGCAGGCCACCUUGCCGGCCACUGUGCGCACCCCCAACUUGUUGGGGCCCGCAUCGCCAAACACAAUGCCGCCGUCCGUAUGAUCGCGGAAUGCCUGCACCAUGGCGCCAACGGUGGCGGGUACAUGUUGAUGGACGCAAGCAGUGCAGAUGCACGCCCCGAAUACUGUGCGGGCACCUGCCCCCCCAAAUGGAUGCUGCGCAACAAUAUCCCCAGCGAGAGGCCGCUGCCACAGCGCUGCAACAUACCCUGGCCACGCGCCCUGCACAGGGGCACAAGAGAAUCUUUCAGAAGGAAGACAUGGAACGGGGUCUCCCAGCGGUCCGGAACCCAGAAACUGGGGAGGUGACGACUGACUCCACCAGCAUCCUCGCCAUACUCGAAACCCACUUCCGAAAGCUGUCCGCCCCACCACGCGGCACCCGCACUGGGGACUUCCGACUACCCAGCAACGCCACACGCGGCUACCCAUUUGAGAAAGCCGACGCAACAGAUCAAUUCACACUGGACCGCAACCGGCACCCUGACACACAUUCCAUGCUCCCCAGCAUGGCAGACACGGCAAAUUUUGAGCAGUGCAUUUCUCACCUCUCCAGAAACAAGGCGACAGGCCCUGACGGCAUCCCAAACGAACUGCUCCGUAUCCUGCCAUCGGGCAUGAAGCGCAACCUCCACUGUAUCCUGCAAAUCAUGUACGUCAAGUCACAAAUACCUGAAACCUGGGCCGCAUCAGAGACCGUGCUACUCCCCAAACCUGGAGACGCCCUGGACAUAAAAAACAAACGGCCCAUUGCGCUCGCAAAUACCUGCUACAAGCUGUACACGUCCAUGCUUACCUUGGGCAUUGGCGAACUGGCUGGCCCCCUCCAGCUAUUCAGUGAAGCGCAGGAAGGCUUCCGUGCCUA